GAGAGGAGGAUGCUGCAGCGGCGCUUACUACCAAUCAAAUAGCGCUGCUGCGGCUCCAAUCCCUCUCCCUCCUCCUUCUUCUCAACUGCCUGCACACGCCACACUGCACAGAGAGGGAGAUGCCUGCCAGCACGAGGAGCCUGUCAGCGGGAGAAGUGGAACUGGGACUGACGUCGAGUUUGAUGGAUCUGAAAACAAGGAAAAUUGUCACUUUCGUGUGAAUCUGAAUCUGUCAACCUUUGGAUUCUUCACCAUGUGUUCUCCCUGACAUUCUGGCAGAAAGCAAGUGAAAUUGCGCCAAGUCCCAGCUGUGGCUCCCUUAUAUGGAAUCCGAAACCUGUAAGUUUCCGAUGCUGGAUGAAAACAAUAUUGUUAUUGAGGCAUGAUGAAUCAUUUACUGUUAGGCCACUGUGUUAAAUCCAGGAGGUUGGAUGAAAGUGAGGAUUGUCUUUGCUCUCCUAUAAUGCUUCACAUGCUAAAUAGAAGGCCCAUACAUAAACUGAUGAGUCCUACUAAGGACAGAACAGCUGGUGUGUAGAUGACAUUAAGCCUCAGCACUUACUUGCACCAUGCUAUGAAUGCCUGUUAUAGUAAAUAAAAAAAGUAGAAAUGCAGAAUUGUUUAACUUUGCCAUGAAACGGAAAACUAUUUAAAUUUACACAGUGUAAUAACUCUACAAAGUCUGCCUCAAGUCAGACAUGUGCAGUCGGAGCAUGCAUGACUCGGGGCAGACUAGUAACCUUGCCUACCCCCCCAUCUCCCCCAUCCAUUUACUAACAGCUCCCAUUGUGAGGAGAUGAGAGAAGAUGACCACAGGUAAAAGGAAGUGUAAGUGAAAGAUGGACCCCUAAACAGGGUUUUAUGCCAGGUACAGUUGGCUAGUACUAGGGAGGCCAAUCCCGGGGCAUUUUUCAAUCCCGGGAUUCGGGAUUGAAAAAUGUUCAAUCCAGGGAUUCCCGGGAUUGCAGUAGGGAUCAGUGUAGGGAGCAGAGAGAGUAAAU